UUGUGUUAAACUCAUAUCUUUGAAGAAGAAACAUCACAGAAGAGAGAGCUCGUAGAGUAGACAUCCCAUUCUGCUGGAUGGUUGAUUGUUCAAUGAAACCUUUUAAGCUGGGUACGUUUGAUGCAAUAUACUGCCCAAGGUUCAGAUGUUUGGGUGCCUGGUAUCCAGAUAAUUUUUCUAUUACUUUGGUGACAACAUACACUGUCUUCUGUUUUGGUACAUUACAGAGCUGAAAAAGAUCAUCAGCUAUAACAAAGCAUCUUGUCCUCUUAGGUUCAAUUGAUGGUAUCUGAAGCAACACAUGUCCAACUCGAUGCAGCACAGAUGGAUCACGAGCUAACCAUCCAAUACUGUCCAAACUUUGUGAUACAGGCAGAACACCAACAGUCGAUAUGGCCCUAUGUGACGGCCUAAACCCAAAGACACCACAAAAUGCUGCUGGGACUCUGAUGCACCCAGUCAUAUCGGUACCUAAAGCAAAAUCAACAAGUUCAGCCGCAACAGCAACAGCUGAACCACUGGAUGAACCACCUGGAAUAUGAGAUGGCAAUUUUGGAUUAGUUGGAGUACCGUAGUGCACAUUCUCUCCAGUAAUCCCAAGUCCAAAUUCGUCCAUGAUAGUCUUCCCAACACAAGUAGAACCAUUCUUCAGAAGAGCAGUUACAACAAUGGCUGUCUUUGUAGCCGCCUCAUGCGUCUGUUUCCAG
rnacentral:misc_RNA from 1 species